UACGGGGGGAGCAAGCGUUGUUCGGAUUUACUGGGCGUAAAGGGCGCGUAGGCGGUCGUGACAAGUCACUUGUGAAAUCUCCGGGCUUAACUCGGAACGGUCAAGUGAUACUGUCGGACUAGAGUACAGAAGGGGCAACUGGAAUUCUCGGUGUAGCGGUGAAAUGCGUAGAUAUCGAGAGGAACACCUGCGGCGAAGGCGGGUUGCUGGGCUGAUAACUGACGCUGGAGGC
rnacentral:rRNA from 1 species